rnacentral:rRNA from 1 species
UGGGGAAUAUUGGACAAUGGGCGCAAGCUUGUUCCAGCCAUGCCGCGUGAGUGAUGAAGGCCCUAGGGUUGUAAAGCCCUUUCACCGGUGAAGAUAAUGACGGUAACCGGAGAAGAAGCCCCGGCUAACUUCGUGCCAGCAGCCGCGGUAAUACGAAGGGGGCUAGCGUUGUUCGGAUUUACUGGGCGUUAAGCGCACGUAGGCGGACUUUUAAGUCAGGGGUGAAAUCCCGGGGCUCAACCCCGGAACUGCCUUUGAUACUGGAAGUCUUGAGUAUGGUAGAGGUGAGUGGAAUUCCGAGUGUAGAGGUGAAAUUCGUAGAUAUUCGGAGGAACACCAGUGGCGAAGGCGGCUCACUGGACCAUUACUGACGCUGAGGUGCGAAAGCGUGGGGAGCAAACAGG